ACCCAGCUGGGAUAGCUCAGCUGGUAGAGAAUGAGACUCAUAAUCUCAGGGUUGUGAGUUCAAGCCCCAGGUUGGGUA